GGCAGUUGCACAAGGCGGGUUGUGACAUUUGGAGGAUCAUGGUUGCUAGAGACAAUGGAGCUCUGUGAUUACAAGACAUGGGGAGCGACCUUCCUUACACAGAGGGCUCUCUCUCUGUCUCUGUCUCUCUUUCUGUGAUUCUCUCACUCCCUGGAAUGCAGAGAUGGAGGUGGAGUAGGAGGAAAACUGGAGAUGUUUCUCUCAAGCUCUCAUACAAAGCUCUUCAAGUUUCCUCCCAAGAAAGACCUAUACAUCGCCUCCCUCAAAUGUCUACUAGCUAUGACAACAGGCUAAAGUUAAGCCCACACACACACACAAAAGCAAACACACUAGCUUCUAGUUAGAAGGAGCAGGGUGAGUCUUGAGGGCGCCGUGUUGCAUAAACGUGUCUCUCUGUUGAAACACCUGUGCAAUAAGGCAGGUGAGUAGAGAAGUAAGCAAUAGAGUCAACAAACCCCUCAUUAUGAUACCAUCACUCCAAAAAGAGGAGCUCAGGCUCAAUAGGAAAUUUGCCUGCCUGUCAUUUAACAUUUAAAGACAGCAAACAAUACACAGGCAAAGCAAAGCAUUAAUGACUGGGCCUGAGGCUUUUAACCACCUAUUCAUCUAUUCUGCUGGUUUUAAACAAUAGGUGAAUAUAGUCUUUUUCCUCCCCAUAUAAACAAAAAAGUACUUUGUAGCUAGGCACCUCCUCACCUUCUUUCAUUCUCAUCUACUGAUCAUCAAACAAUCUAAGCCCACUUUCUCUGACAUUUCAGGCAUUAAAACCCAGUACUUUUCCUCCUGCAGUUCCAUAUUUGCCCUGAAGUGGACUGUAUGUGAAGCUGCACCAUAUCUUCAAUCUGUUCACUAAUGAAUUCUGGGGUAAAUGUCGCUUGCUACCUUAAUCAUUAAUAGCCAGUAAAGUUUGUUUUGUUUACUUUUUUGCCCAUAUUCUGACUGUAUCUGGCAAAUCAGUGUCCCUGAGGAAUGGAACCAAACAUAAAUCCUAAUAUGGAAUAUGAGACGACGUUAUUUAUGUACUAUGGCUUAUUCAUCCUUCUGUGAGAGUGAGGUUCUCUUAUUCUUUUGGAGAGUACCCAGCAUUGACAAGGAUAUUUAUUUGUUGUUGUUGUUUUUUCAAGUUUAGG